rnacentral:lncRNA from 1 species
ACACACACACACACACACACACAAUCUGUAUGAUGAUUUGGCCUGGAGUUGUAGACAUCACAGAUCAAAAGUGGCCUGGUGCUAGCUGUUUGGGUAUAUCCUUGAAAAGGGCAACUUUGUCAUUUCCUAGAGUAACCUAGAGAGAGAUUUCCAAGCAUUUCCCCAUGAACAGAAGUGGUAAAUGCUGAUUUAUUGUGCCAUAUGUGUGUUUGGGAGGAGGGGAGAUAGCGUCUUGUUUUGAAAAAAGUUCUCACUUCAUAAAAUAAACUGCACACCACUCCAAAAAAAAAAAAAAAGAUGAAACCUCAAGCAGGAGGAACUUUUUUAUUUAACCCCUAGUGAAAGCAAUUAAACGUCUUGGUAGAUGCUAGGGAAGAAUUAGAAAAUCUUCUUUUCCUGAAAGCUUUAAACAUUGAAUAGACUCUGAUUUAUUCAGGAUCAUUUCGGUGUAGAUUGGCCACUCGACACAGACAUCACAGCAUGGUAGCCUCGAAACCAAGCCUUCAGCAUCUUCUCGGCGCCCGGUGUUGGAGUGUUACUUGGAGUGGAGGCAGUGCAUUUGCAUCUUCAUGUAGUCUCCAGAUCAGGUUACUCUGAUUUGUCUUGGAGUGGCUUUCUGUUUGAAAGUAGGGAAGAUUAAAAAUCAACUUGCCACGGGAUAUCUGAUCUCCAUGAGUAGUUGAAAGCCAGUCUAAAAGGUUAACUCUACAGGGCCGGCGCCGCCAGUGCGGUCAUGGAAAAUCGUGCUGUGAGAUACUGGAGUGUGCUGCUGGGGCCAGGUGCAGCAAUUGCAGAAUGUUGAGGAGUGAGGAGUAGUUAGAAAUCACUGCAACAUGGAAAAGCACACAGACCAAGGACGCUAAGGAGGGAGCGAGGACUACCGGGCAGGUGUGCGUGUGUGGAGUAAAAUGCAUCGGACAGUGAUUGACUCCACUUUUGAGUGAGAUGUGGAGGCGGUAGUGGUGUGGGGGUUGUGAGGGAGUGAGUCUGCUUUAUUAUGAAUCAGGAUUGAUAGCUGGCCUUAAAGUGGGAAAUGAUAGAAGGGUCACUUAGGAGCCUGCAGUGGCAUGGUGACCAGUCUGUUAUUACUCAUAGAUGACCUUUUCUGGCUCUUGAAACCAAGCUAACGACUCCUUUUUCUUCUGGGCCUCAAAGUUUCUUUGUAGGAAGUAAAGCAUUUGUCACUUUCCCUGCAGUGAUUUAUUGAAAGACUGAAGAUAGGUCUUCCUUAGUUAAGGACGCACACUGGCUGCUCGCUCCAGAAGCACCAAGAAUGGCUGAUGGAUAAAUCCCUUACCCAUACUCCUGUUUCUGCCUCCUAAGGUUGCUGUGAAAACCUAACUAACCAAACCUCACCAGCUUGGCCUAUAUUAUUAAUCAAAUUCCCUUCUGUUCUCUCUGUGUGUAUAUUUAAUACUGUAGAUAAUAUGUUUUAUUUAAAAUUUCUAAUACACCAAAUUAAUUUGAAAUAGAAAAGGCUGGGGACUUCAUUCUCAUUUUUGUCAUUUGUUUAAUCAGUUUGGGAAAACAUUUUCCGUUGUUCCAUUGUAUGCAGUGUCUUGUCAGCAUGUACCUAUCUAGGAGAAAACGCUUUGUUUUCAGCGUUCUGUCUUUACCCUCAAAGCAUGGUGUAGCUUCUGUUCUUACACUGUUGGAGCACUGUCUGAUGUCUUUUUUUUUUUUUUUAACACUGCUGAAUACCAAUUUGUACUUGGAAUACCUCUUUCCUCUAGAAUACAGUGAUCCUAUUCCCCAAAGUGCAAGCUUUCAUGUGGAAGCAUCCUAAGUGAUCGUCCUGGGUGAUGCCAUAUUUCACUAAAGUGGGAAAAGAAGAGGUGAACUUUGCUCUUCCAACAAGGCUUGCACUUUAUACUUUGGGCAGUGCAUGGGAGAAGGGGGGCCCUUAGAGGUGAGCAGGAUCACUGUAGCUAGAGGAGAGGUCUCACUGAAACAGAACGCAUCUGUGACUGUAGCUUGCAUGGAGAGCCUAGACAGCCAACCAUGGAUUUGCCUUUAUGUUUUGAAUGGAAACAUCUAUUUCAAUUGGGAUAGAAACCUUUACCUAUGUCAUAUCUGUAAGAGAAUUUAGCUUAUAGAUAUGUAGAUACGUGUGUGUGUUGCUGGGUGGGGAAGUGGGUGGGAAUGUAGAAAAGGCCUCACCUGACUUGGUCCCAGUUGGCUUCUGAUGGCCAAGGAGCUGUUUUUCAUUUUGGUGGGCACCCAACAUGUAGGUUCUCACAGAUGCUGUCUGGUUUCUUCUUCUCUCCAUGGCGGAACAAUGAAGUACGUCAAUAAAGCAUGGACUCAUACCACUGGGAAGAAUGCUGGCUUCUCCAGUAACAAUGAGCUUGGUGGUUCUUUGAGCAUGGAAGGCCAAGCUCAUGUCACAGUGUAUGCACGGUAUUAAUAUAUCUCUUGUUGAUCUAAACUGAAGGGGCUUUUACUUGUCCUAACAGGUAUCAUGCUGUAAAAACUGUCCAUUGUAACUGUUCUUUCCCACUGAUGGCUGAAGCUUUGUCCUGAGUACAAGAUGGUAUUUUUCAUUGGUACGAAGCACCAUGUUCCCAACCCAAACACUGCCUCCACCACCACCACCACCACCAUCACCACCACCACUGCUACUACCAACAUCACCACCACCAUCACCACCACCGUGUUCAAACAAAGCAGCAUUCUCCUGUGUCUUUUCCUCAUAAGUAAGAACAAGGUAGCACAUUCAUUUUUCCAUUAGUGCAUUUCAAUUCUUUUCCUGCAAGUUGCAUUGCUAUUGCUUUUCUGAAUUGCUUGAUGAUGAACUGUGAAGCUGAUGCUUAGCUGCUUGUGAAACUUUUCUUAAAGGAACUGGGUCUAAGAAGCACACAUACAUUACCCUCAACAACCUCAGGUAUCAAGAAGAGGACCACACUGCUAACAUGGGUAAUCCUAUAACCUGGCUUUUCUUGUGGAACUUUGUAAUUUCUAUAAAAUACCGCCAGCUUUGCGUAUUCCACUGAGCCCCAACUUAGAUAUCAGACGCUAGUGAGUCCUGCCUAUUCAGGAAGCUACGUAUUAUUCAGCAUAAUACUGCCCUUUUUUUUGAUAACUGGCUUUCAAAUGGGAUAAUCUCAAGAGAGGUUUCAUUGUAUCCUCUUAGAGCGUAUGGAUUUAAAUAGAGCCUUUCAAAAAAAUAGAUGAAAACCUACAUCUCUAAUAUAUUUCCUACUUGGGCCUUUUGAGCAUAUUCUGGGCACAUAGAGAGAAAAUCUCCUAUGUUUUAGAACAGAAUAAAAGAAGACAAAUUAUGGUAGAUAAGUGGCACCCAGAAGAUUGCAAAAUAAAUAAUUUUAUGUGGGGGAAUAUUGAAGAAAAAGCAUAGAAACUUUUUUAUAAUUGCACUUUAAAAUUUUGGAAAAGAAAAAUUGAGAAUGCAAUCAGUAGUCUCAUUUUUGUCAGUAUUCUGUCAGAUAUUAGCUAUUCAAUAAGCAUAUCUUGGAUUACUAUUUUUUUAGUUGUCAGUUUUUCUAGUUUCCCCCUUUAUAGGAAAAAAUAAUACCUAUGUGGUUAAAAACUGAGACCCAUUUAAAAAACAGGACAGGUACAGUUAAGUACUAGAAAUGCCGUUUUUAUCACUUGAAAAAUAGAUUAGAAAUGUUUUUCUUUUCCCAGAAUUGUGUGAGUUUGUUUUGAAGCCUUGAAUACCGGUACAUGGUUAACAGGCAGCUUGUGCCCAAUCCCAAAGCGGGAAGAAAGGCCUGGCUUUGGCUCACUGAUGAUAAAGUCUCCUCCCACUGCCUUUCAGCAGCUCUGCCGAAGAGCUGAUCAAGAUGCUGCAAACCCAGCUUCCCCAGACCGGCCAAGAGGGAAGAAUGAUGAGCGUGUUUUAAAUUACAAAGAGAGAGCAGCGCAGGCAGUUUCUGGUCUGGGUGAUAAAUUGAAAUCCAUAAAUAUAGCAGUGCUAAUUUGAAGUUCCGUAAUUGUUUGUGCCAUGAGAAUGUGUACAUUUGAAAGGAUUUUAUAAAGCAAUUACUAGAAAUGCCUCCCUUGAGAGCUGUAUGACUGGAGGUGUUUUCAGUCUGAGGGGGGCAGCAUAAACCCAAACCUCUUCUAGAUGAAUGGCAGGGUGGCGGGAGGGGUCAUGAAAUCAUGGGGAAGAGGUGAAGGAUUUGAGAGCUACUAACCUGACAUCUAACUGAAUGCCUAAGAAAUUGCAGGGCAAUUUCAGGAAAUAGGAAAAAUAAUUUUGAAAACAUUCAAAGCCUCCAGACUUUCGGUGUGUGACUGAUCUUUUUUCUAAUCUCUUUAAACUUCUUUCCACCUAUUGCCUUAAUAGCAGGUGCUUCCUCUUAGGGUCCCCCCAAAUUAUUUACCUCGAGUUCCCUAAUGAAAUUACUUUGCAUUAAUUUGUCAUAAAGGGAGAAGUGCUAGAAAUACCGAGGCAUUGAUAAUUUCAUGGAGUAGCAAUGAAUGUCAGUCACAGUUUCCUCUCCCCGUUGCCCGGGGCUGUGCCUUCAAAGCAGGUGACAGACUGCAAGGUGUAAACAAGCUUUAUAAUGCCAUAUAAAUCAAACCGGGCUCAUUUUACCUAACAACAGAACCAUGUUUGUUUGCUUUUUUGUAAAAUGGACUACUUCAGUGAAAAAUUGAUUCCACGUAGUUCUAAUAACUCUGUGACCUUGGACAUUGGCUUUUUAUAGACACAGCUCUUCCCACCUGCUGGUAUGGACACCAGUUUGUACAGACUGUUGUCACACACCCUGGCUCAAAGUCAAAAGAGAAUUUUAAUUACUCAUCAAGCUGCCAAAUUCUACUAAUUGCCCCCUUGUCAGCAUAUUUCAUUAAUUGCUGAAAGGUAAAUGAGUUACAUAUUUUGUUUGGACCACGUCACCUGUACAUUUUCAAAGCCUCGGAUUGUUUAUCUUGCAAAGAGAGAAGGGGCCUCUUCUCCACAGAUGCAGCUCAAAUUAGCAAAACUGAACUGUAGAGUUUCAGGCCUUUCCCUUCCUUAAAAUGCUGAUAGAUUUCUAGACCAGACUUUGAUAUUUAUUGGCUUCUUGGUCUUGCUGUUUAAACACACCCAUUGCCCUUUCUUUCUUAGGCCCUAUAAGCAAAGCUGGAGUAGCGUCUUGGGAAAAGGCCAACUGACCACCCUAAUUUUGUCGUUCCAAGUCUGCAGAGCGCACAUAUUAAGUAGUUGUUACUGACAUCUUUAGGCUCCGUGAGUGAAAUGCAGCAAGCCUGCCCCCAGCAGCCUGUGGGCUAAUCCUGAGCUGUUCCUUCGUUUAGGUACACAGGUGACCCUGAAGUUCCCACUCGGCCCUCUGUUUUCUGAGUCCUGUCUCCUCUGUAGCACAGUGGGGAUUGUUCUGAACCGUGGCACGCCUUCUUGGCGAGGCAGGCUCUCUUAUGGAACCAUAGUCUGUUACCUCAUUUCUUCCAACUGCUCUGUCCCCUAAAUGUGUGUUCCCAGGUGCAGUGCAGCAAGGGUGCUCGCUGUUGGCCUUUGAGAGUGGAGGUGGCUGUAUCGGAGUGUGCUCCCCCUACUUUUUCCCUUGCCCCGAGUGGCAGUUCUUUUCCUCUCUGUUGCCGGAUGCUGUCUAGGGCCUGUUAGUUGCUAUUUCCUUGCCUCCGCUCCCCUUCCCACUAGCCUUCUAACUACCUUUUAUUCUCGGCUCCAACUCUUUCAAUGAUGAGGUGAAUGCUUUUUCUGUUCCACGUCACUGCAAAGUCAAGGUGUCCAGCAUGCUCUCACUUAUAACUGCCUCACCCGAUCUCACGCACAGUGCGAGAGCUGAAGGUAAGCCCCGGAUGUUGCCAGAUUACGGUGGACAAAUAAAAAACAACUCUCCAACAGCAACUCACAAAUGCAUGAAAUGUUUUAACCUCUAGACAGACUGCCAGAAUUUCUCUCUUCUAAUUCCUACUUGUAGUGAUAACAUUUUUCUUUUUGUGAUUUUUUUUUUUUUAAAUAAUAGUGUAGUACCUUGAAACAACUGCAGUUCUAACUCAUUGUCACCAUUUCUGUUUGACACGUUCCACUUCCUUUGCAAUUAUUGUAUUUAGUUGUGCACUAGUGUCAAUAAAAUUGACAUUUGUGAAGC